AUUGAACGCUGGCGGCAGGCCUAACACAUGCAAGUCGAACGAGUGGCGGACGGGUGAGUAAUGUCUGGGAAACUGCCUGAUGGAGGGGGAUAACUACUGGAAACGGUAGCUAAUACCGCAUACCAUCGGAUGUGCCAAGCUGGGAUUAGCUAGUAGGUGGGGGAACGGCUCACCUAGGCGACGAUCCCUAGCUGGUCUGAGAGGAUGACCAGCCAAACUGGACCUGAGACACGGUCCAGCCUCCGAAGGGAGGCAGCAGUGGGGAAUAUUGCACAAUGGGCGCAAGCCUUAUGCAGCCAUGCCGCGUGUAUUAAGAAGGCCUUCGGGUUGUAAAGUACUUUCAGCGGGGAGGCGUUACCCGAAGAAGAAGCACCGGCUAACUCCGUGCCAGCAGCCGCGGUAAUAC
rnacentral:rRNA from 1 species